UCUGUUGUGCAUGUCUUCGAAGCCAUCUUUCAUUGGAGCUUUUUCUUACAUAACAACAGCAUGCUAAGGCGGGUUCAGAAAACUGUGGAGCAGAAGAGCAAAAACUUUUUUGAUCUUGAUUUUCCAUGCAAAUACAGACAAUGAAAAGUGAGGCCUCACAAUUCUUCUGACUUUUCAGGUUUUAAGCAGGAAGUCUCAAAAUAGUUACCACAGGGAUAAGUGAUCUGAGGUGGUUACGUGUUUUAGGCAUGAUGGUUUUUUUAUUCAGAGAUGUUGGCUCUGCCUUUCAUAUUGAAGGAGACUUUACCAAGUGCUGGUCAUUUCUUCCACUACUAGGGAACAUGAACUGCAUUUAGACUAUGGUUAGACAAGUUA
rnacentral:ncRNA from 1 species